AUACGAAAGGUGCAAGCGUUGUUCGGAUUUACUGGGCGUAAAGAGAGUGUAGGUUGUUUAUUAAGUCGGAUGUGAAAUCCCGGGGCUCAACCUCGGAACUGCAUUCGAUACUGAUAGGCUAGAGUUUGGGAGGGGUAAGCGGAAUUCCGUGUGUAGCAGUGAAAUGCGUAGAUAUACGGAGGAACACCUGAGGCGAAGGCGGCUUACUGGACCAAUACUGACACUGAGACUCGAAAGCGUGGGUAGCAAACAGGAUUAGAAACCCUAGUAGUCC
rnacentral:rRNA from 1 species